GCCACCCACCCGGGCACCGGGGCCUGGAUCCUGCCCGCCGGGGUCACGAGGGUCCGGGGGCAGGAGCCUGGGGUGGCUUGGGACUGAUGGUGGUAUCGGGGCACUCGGUGGUGGUUUAAGGGUGUCGGGGCAGAAUUUGGGGUUGGGCUUGGGGGGGUAUUGGAGGCACUGGUGGCCUUGGGGCAGGCUUUGGGGGUGCUUAGGGGGUAGUGGGGGCGGUUUCUGUCCAGGUUUGGGGGUGGAUUUGAGAUCCAGGGGCUUUGCAGGCUAGUUGUGCUCAUUCCUUGGGGUACUGGACAGGUGUCAGGGUAUAACAUAUUACUUGCCUCCCACUUGAAAUGUUUUUUAUUGCAGAGUCAGGAGGAUUAAUCUAAAGACACAACCUUGGCAGGGGGGAUUCAACUGCUGACUUGCCUGUUGUGCUUAUGACAAGCUCUCCAACCAGACUGGGGUCUGGACUUGCAGACUGUGAGCUCAUUUCCCAAGUGCUGCUCUAAAACACUUCAGUUGGUGUGACCAAAACUAGGUUCGAAAACAGAUUCUGCAUAAAGUAGUAAAAUGUCUUACCAUGCAUCAAAUUGGCUCCCAGUGCUGUUGUUUAAAGCAAUAUUGUCUGUGUAGAGAGAUUAUUUUCUCCUCUUUUACUUAUCAGUACUAAAACUGUGCAGGCCACAUGCUAGAUGGCCCUCUCUGCUGACUGAAGUUACAGACUGAAAAUAUGUAUGCCAAAAGACAACAUCAAAAGUGAUUUUAGCCUUGGUCUUGAAGAGGCAAUAGUGAGUUCCAACGUCCCUUUCAGUGUUGUGAGAUUCUUGUUCUUUUUGAUUACAAAUUGCCUUGUUUUGCAGUCCUGCUGCUGUCAGGAAGUUUGUGGAGAAAGUAAUUAGAACUUCAGAAGGAGGUGUGGAAGAAACAUGAGAAAGAUAUCUUAGGUGAGAGGUGACAAGAUUGGCUGGAUCAAAGGAGAAAAUCAUUUGCAAUUUAGUAUAUUUGCAUACAGGACAACAGUGAAAACUAUUCAGUUAAAACCAGUUUGGCUAAUUAUAUGCUUCCAAAAGACCUAUAUAAGCAGAAGUGUCUUCUCCCUAUCUCUCUUGUGGAAAAGGGCAUCUAAGCUUUCCGAUACUUUUAAAUAAUACUGGUCCAGAACUGCAUAGGUGUUUUCCUCAGUUAUAUGUGAUAUGAGGCUUUCUCUCCUUCUUUCCUAAUUCCUAAAGGAUUCUGCAAGAGGUCAUACCUUCUCUCCCUCCCAUACAGCAUCUUCACAAUCAUUUACUGUUCUGGCUUUUUUUUUUUUUUUUUUUUUUUUAAAUGACCCAGCCACAAGCUGAUUCUGCAUUGGGCUAAGUGACAAGAGGUAUAAGUUAACUUUAAGGUUUCUUAUCCCUCUGUUUUCCUGUGAUUCUGUGAUUGCUUCCUUUUUCCAUUGAGUCCCUCGAAUUGAAUGCAAUAAAAAUGGUGAUAAAU